rnacentral:rRNA from 1 species
UUAAGUCACAACGGACAAAAGAUGAGCAUGCGUCCCAUUAGCUAGUUGGUAAGGUAACGGCUUACCAAGGCUACGAUGGGUAGGGGUCCUGAGAGGGAGAUCCCCCACACUGGUACUGAGACACGGACCAGACUCCUACGGGAGGCAGCAGUGAGGAAUAUUGGACAAUGGGCGCAAGCCUGAUCCAGCCAUGCCGCGUGCAGGAUGACGGUCCUAUGGAUUGUAAACUGCUUUUGUACAGGAAGAAACACUACUUCGUGAAGUAGCUUGACGGUACUGUAAGAAUAAGGAUCGGCUAACUCCGUG